GAUUUCUUAAAUAUCAGCCUUGAAAUCUGGUCAAAGACUAUCGUCUAGAAAUCC
rnacentral:tRNA from 1 species